AUUCUGCCCAUGCGGGGAAGGAUGAGAAGCUUCGACCAAGGUUCGACUCGAGUGCCAGCGAGAGAGCGUUGCCGCAGGCAACGACCCGUAGGGCGAAGCGCGCAGCGCUGAGUAAUCCUUACCCCACCACCA
rnacentral:sRNA from 1 species